CGGCGGUAUGCUUAACACAUGCAAGUCGAACGGUAACAGGCCUUCGGGCGCUGACGAGUGGCGGACGGGUGAGUAACGCGUAGGAAUCUGCCUUAUAGUGGGGGACAACGUGGGGAAACCCACGCUAAUACCGCAUACGCCCUACGGGGGAAAGCGGGGGAUCUUCGGACCUCGCGCUAUGAGAUGAGCCUGCGUUAGAUUAGCUAGUUGGUAGGGUAAAGGCCUACCAAGGCCACGAUCUAUAGCUGGUCUGAGAGGACGAUCAGCCACACUGGGACUGAGACACGGCCCAGACUCCUACGGGAGGCAGCAGUGGGGAAUAUUGGACAAUGGGCGCAAGCCUGAUCCAGCAAUACCGCGUGUGUGAAGAAGGCCCUAGGGUUGUAAAGCACUUUCAAUUGGGAGGAAAACCUGCCGGUCAAUACCCGGUAGCUUGACAUUACCUUUAGAAGAAGCACCGGCUAACUCCGUGCCAGCAGCCGCGGUAAUACGGAGGGUGCGAGCGUUGAUCGGAAUUACUGGGCGUAAAGCGUGCGUAGGCGGUUCGUUAAGUCAGAUGUGAAAGCCCUGGGCUCAACCUGGGAACUGCAUUUGAAACUGGCGGACUAGAGUUUAGUAGAGGGGAGUGGAAUUUCAGGUGUAGCGGUGAAAUGCGUAGAUAUCUGAAGGAACACCAGUGGCGAAGGCGACUCCCUGGACUAGAACUGACGCUGAGGUACGAAAGCGUGGGUAGCAAACAGGAUUAGAUACCCUGGUAGUCC
rnacentral:rRNA from 1 species